rnacentral:rRNA from 1 species
GGUUAAGCGACUAAGCGUACACGGUGGAUGCCCUGGCAGUCAGAGGCGAUGAAGGACGUGCUAAUCUGCGAUAAGCGUCGGUAAGGUGAUAUGAACCGUUAUAACCGGCGAUUUCCGAAUGGGGAAACCCAGUGUGUUUCGACACACUAUCAUUAACUGAAUCCAUAGGUUAAUGAGGCGAACCGGGGGAACUGAAACAUCUAAGUACCCCGAGGAAAAGAAAUCAACCGAGAUUCCCCCAGUAGCGGCGAGCGAACGGGGAGCAGCCCAGAGCCUGAAUCAGUGUGUGUGUUAGUGGAAGCGUCUGGAAAGGCGCGCGAUACAGGGUGACAGCCCCGUACACAAAAAUGCACAUGCUGUGAGCUCGAUGAGUAGGGCGGGACACGUGGUAUCCUGUCUGAAUAUGGGGGGACCAUCCUCCAAGGCUAAAUACUCCUGACUGACCGAUAGUGAACCAGUACCGUGAGGGAAAGGCGAAAAGAACCCCGGCGAGGGGAGUGAAAAAGAACCUGAAACCGUGUACGUACAAGCAGUGGGAGCACGCUUAGGCGUGUGACUGCGUACCUUUUGUAUAAUGGGUCAGCGACUUAUAUUCUGUAGCAAGGUUAACCGAAUAGGGGAGCCGAAGGGAAACCGAGUCUUAACUGGGCGUUAAGUUGCAGGGUAUAGACCCGAAACCCGGUGAUCUAGCCAUGGGCAGGUUGAAGGUUGGGUAACACUAACUGGAGGACCGAACCGACUAAUGUUGAAAAAUUAGCGGAUGACUUGUGGCUGGGGGUGAAAGGCCAAUCAAACCGGGAGAUAGCUGGUUCUCCCCGAAAGCUAUUUAGGUAGCGCCUCGUGAAUUCAUCUCCGGGGGUAGAGCACUGUUUCGGCAAGGGGGUCAUCCCGACUUACCAACCCGAUGCAAACUGCGAAUACCGGAGAAUGUUAUCACGGGAGACACACGGCGGGUGCUAACGUCCGUCGUGAAGAGGGAAACAACCCAGACCGCCAGCUAAGGUCCCAAAGUCAUGGUUAAGUGGGAAACGAUGUGGGAAGGCCCAGACAGCCAGGAUGUUGGCUUAGAAGCAGCCAUCAUUUAAAGAAAGCGUAAUAGCUCACUGGUCGAGUCGGCCUGCGCGGAAGAUGUAACGGGGCUAAACCAUGCACCGAAGCUGCGGCAGCGACACUAUGUGUUGUUGGGUAGGGGAGCGUUCUGUAAGCCUGUGAAGGUGUGCUGUGAGGCAUGCUGGAGGUAUCAGAAGUGCGAAUGCUGACAUAAGUAACGAUAAAGCGGGUGAAAAGCCCGCUCGCCGGAAGACCAAGGGUUCCUGUCCAACGUUAAUCGGGGCAGGGUGAGUCGACCCCUAAGGCGAGGCCGAAAGGCGUAGUCGAUGGGAAACAGGUUAAUAUUCCUGUACUUGGUGUUACUGCGAAGGGGGGACGGAGAAGGCUAUGUUGGCCGGGCGACGGUUGUCCCGGUUUAAGCGUGUAGGCUGGUUUUCCAGGCAAAUCCGGAAAAUCAAGGCUGAGGCGUGAUGACGAGGCACUACGGUGCUGAAGCAACAAAUGCCCUGCUUCCAGGAAAAGCCUCUAAGCAUCAGGUAACAUCAAAUCGUACCCCAAACCGACACAGGUGGUCAGGUAGAGAAUACCAAGGCGCUUGAGAGAACUCGGGUGAAGGAACUAGGCAAAAUGGUGCCGUAACUUCGGGAGAAGGCACGCUGAUAUGUAGGUGAAGUCCCUUGCGGAUGGAGCUGAAAUCAGUCGAAGAUACCAGCUGGCUGCAACUGUUUAUUAAAAACACAGCACUGUGCAAACACGAAAGUGGACGUAUACGGUGUGACGCCUGCCCGAUGCCGGAAGGUUAAUUGAUGGGGUCAGCGCAAGCGAAGCUCUUGAUCGAAGCCCCGGUAAACGGCGGCCGUAACUAUAACGGUCCUAAGGUAGCGAAAUUCCUUGUCGGGUAAGUUCCGACCUGCACGAAUGGCGUAAUGAUGGCCAGGCUGUCUCCACCCGAGACUCAGUGAAAUUGAACUCGCUGUGAAGAUGCAGUGUACCCGCGGCAAGACGGAAAGACCCCGUGAACCUUUACUAUAGCUUGACACUGAACAUUGAGCCUUGAUGUGUAGGAUAGGUGGGAGGCUUUGAAGUGUGGACGCCAGUCUGCAUGGAGCCGACCUUGAAAUACCACCCUUUAAUGUUUGAUGUUCUAACGUGGACCCGUGAUCCGGGUUGCGGACAGUGUCUGGUGGGUAGUUUGACUGGGGCGGUCUCCUCCUAAAGAGUAACGGAGGAGCACGAAGGUUGGCUAAUCCUGGUCGGACAUCAGGAGGUUAGUGCAAUGGCAUAAGCCAGCUUGACUGCGAGCGUGACGGCGCGAGCAGGUGCGAAAGCAGGUCAUAGUGAUCCGGUGGUUCUGAAUGGAAGGGCCAUCGCUCAACGGAUAAAAGGUACUCCGGGGAUAACAGGCUGAUACCGCCCAAGAGUUCAUAUCGACGGCGGUGUUUGGCACCUCGAUGUCGGCUCAUCACAUCCUGGGGCUGAAGUAGGUCCCAAGGGUAUGGCUGUUCGCCAUUUAAAGUGGUACGCGAGCUGGGUUUAGAACGUCGUGAGACAGUUCGGUCCCUAUCUGCCGUGGGCGCUGGAGAACUGAGGGGGGCUGCUCCUAGUACGAGAGGACCGGAGUGGACGCAUCACUGGUGUUCGGGUUGUCAUGCCAAUGGCACUGCCCGGUAGCUAAAUGCGGAAGAGAUAAGUGCUGAAAGCAUCUAAGCACGAAACUUGCCCCGAGAUGAGUUCUCCCUGACCCUUUAAGGGUCCUGAAGGAACGUUGAAGACGACGACGUUGAUAGGCCGGGUGUGUAAGCGCAGCGAUGCGUUGAGCUAACCGGUACUAAUGAACCGUGAGGCUUAACCUU